GACGAACGCUGGCGGCGUGCUUAACACAUGCAAGUCGAACGGAAAGGCCCUGCUUUUGUGGGGUGCUCGAGUGGCGAACGGGUGAGUAACACGUGAGUAACCUGCCCUUGACUUUGGGAUAACUUCAGGAGACUGGGGCUAAUACCGGAUAGGAGCUCCUGCUGCAUGGUGGGGGUUGGAAAGUUUCGGCGGUUGGGGAUGGACUCGCGGCUUAUCAGCUUGUUGGUGGGGUAGUGGCUUACCAAGGCUUUGACGGGUAGCCGGCCUGAGAGGGUGACCGGCCACAAUGGGACUGAGAUACGGCCCAGACUCCUACGGGAGGCAGCAGUGGGGAAUAUUGCACAAUGGGCGGAAGCCUGAUGCAGCAACGCCGCGUGCGGGAUGACGGCCUUCGGGUUGUAAACCGCUUUCGCCUGUGACGAAGCGUGAGUGACGGUAAUGGGUAAAGAAGCACCGGCUAACUACGUG
rnacentral:rRNA from 1 species